rnacentral:tRNA from 1 species
CGGGCUGUAGCGCAGCUUGGCUAGCGCGCUUCGUUCGGGACGAAGAGGUCCAGGGUUCAAAUCCCUGCAGCCCGACCA